GCUCUCGUGGCCUAGUGGUUAAGGCACGGGUCUUAUGAGCCCGGGAUCGCGGGUUCAAACCCCGCCGGGAGCA